GAUGUACCCGUUUUACUAAGCGACUCAGGAGAGACCAACAGGGAUUGCCUCAGUAACGGCGAGUGAAGCGGCAAGAGCUCAAAUUUGAAAUCUGGCCCCUCCGGGGUCCGAGUUGUAAUUUGUAGAGGAUGCUUCGGGUGCGGCCCCCGUCUAAGUGCUCUGGAACGGGCCAUCGGAGAGGGUGAGAAUCCCGUCUGGGACGGGGUGUCCGCGUCCAUGUGAAGCUCCUUCGACGAGUCGAGUUGUUUGGGAAUGCAGCUCUAAAUGGGUGGUAAAUUUCAUCUAAAGCUAAAUACUGGCCGGAGACCGAUAGCGCACAAGUAGAGUGAUCGAAAGAUGAAAAGCACUUUGAAAAGAGAGUUAAACAGCACGUGAAAUUGUUGAAAGGGAAGCGCUUGCGACCAGACUCGCUUCCGGGGUGAUCAGCCGGCUUUCGGGCCGGUGUACUUCCCCGGGGGCGGGCCAGCGUCGGUUUGGGCGGCCGGUCAAAGGCCCCUGGAAUGUAACGCCCCUCGGGGCGCCUUAUAGCCAGGGGUGUCAUGCGGCCAGCCUGGACCGAGGAACGCGCUUCCAAGGGCACGGACGCUGGGCAUAAUGGUCGUAAACGACCCGUCUUGAAACACGGACCAAGGAGUCUAACAUCUACGCGAGUGUUCGGGUGUCAAACCCGUGCGCGCAGUGAAAGCGAACGGAGGUGGGAGCCCCCUCGAGGGGCGCACCAUCGACCGAUCCUGAUGUCUUCGGAUGGAUUUGAGUAAGAGCGUAGCUGUGGGGACCCGAAAGAUGGUGAACUAUGCCUGAAUAGGGCGAAGCCAGAGGAAACUCUGGUGGAGGCUCGCAGCGGUUCUGACGUGCAAAUCGAUCGUCAAUUUGGGUAUAGGGGCGAAAGACUAAUCGAACCAUCUGUAGCUGGUUCUGCCGAAUUCUCCUCCGGAAAAAAAA
rnacentral:rRNA from 1 species